rnacentral:rRNA from 1 species
CGGUUGAUCCUGCCGGAGGCCACUGCUAUCGGAGUCCGACUAAGCCAUGCGAGUCCAGGUGCUUCGGCACCGGCGGACGGCUCAGUAACACGUGGACAACCUGCCCUCGGGAGGGGGAUAACCCCGGGAAACUGGGAAUAAACCCCCAUAGGUCAUGGAGGCUGGAAGGCGCCAUGACCGAAAUUCCGCAAGGAGCCCGAGGAUGGGUCUGCGGCCUAUCAGGUUGUAGUGGGGGUAACGGCCCCACUAUCCUACGACGGGUACGGGCCCUGAGAGGGGGAGCCCGGAGAUGGACUCUGAGACACGAGUCCAGGCCCUACGGGGCGCACCAGGCGCGAAAACUCCGCAAUGCUCUAAAGAGCGACGGGGGGACUCCGAGUGCCUACGCUUUGCGUAGGCUUUUCCCGAGCCUAAAAAGCUCGGGGAAUAAGGGCUGGGUAAGACGGGUGCCANCCGCCGCGGUAAUACCCGCAGCUCGAGUGGUGGCCGCCUUUAUUGGGCCUAAAGCGUCCGUACCCGGUCUGGUAAAUGCCUGGGUAAAUCGUAGGGCUUAACCCURMGGCUCCCAGGUAGACUGCCAGACUCGGGACCGGAGGAGGGAGAGGGUACUCCAGGGGUAGGRGUGAAAUCCUGUAAUCCYUGRAGGACCACCNGUGGCGAANGCGCUCUCCUAGGACGGGUCCGACGGUGAGGGACGAAAGCCAGGGGAGCAAACCGGAUUAGAUACCCGGGUAGUCCUGGCCGUAAACGAUGUGGACUUGGUAUUGGGAUGGYUACGAGCUGUCCCAGUGUCGUAGGGAAGCGCGUUAAGUCCCACCGCCUGGGGAGUACUGUCGCAAGGCUGAAACUUUAAGGAAUUGGCGGGGGAGCAACGCAACGGGAGGAGCGUGCGGUUUAAUUGGAUUCAAAGCCGGAAAGCUUACCGGGAGAGACUNCCGUAUGUGGGCCNGGGUGAAGACCUUGCCCGAACAAUAGGCAGAGAGGUGGUGCAUGGCCGUCGUCAGCUUGUACCGUAAGGCGUUUUGUUAAGUCAGGUAACGAGCGAGACCCCCGCCCUUAGUUGCCCCCUGUCCCUCCGGGGUCGGAGCACAAUAAGGGGACCGCUGGCGAUAAGCCAGAGGAAGGAGGGGGCAACGGUAGGUCAGUAUGCCCUGAAUCCCCCGGGGUACACGCGCGGUACAAAGGCUGGGACAAUGGGUUGCGACCCCGAAAGGGGAAGCUAAUCCCUAAACCCCGUUGUAGUUUGGAUUGAGGGUUGAAACCCACCCUCGUGAAGGUGGAUUCCGUAGUAAUCGCGGGUCAACAUCCCGCGGUGAAUAUGCCCCUGCUCCUUGCACACACCGCCCGUCAAGCCAAGCGAGUUGGGUUUGGGUGAGGGCUUGCUGUCAUGGCAAGCUCGAACCCAGGCUCAGCGAGCGGGGCUAAGUCGUAACAAGGUAGCC